UACGGAGGGUGCGAGCGUUGUCCGGAAUCACUGGGCGUAAAGGGCGCGUAGGCGGCUCGGUAAGUAGGGGGUGAAAUCCUGCGGCUUAACAGCAGGGCUGCCUUCUAAACUGUCGAGCUAGAGCACGGUAGAGGCAGGUGGAAUUCCCGGUGUAGCGGUGGAAUGCGUAGAGAUCGGGAAGAACACCAGUGGCGAAGGCGGCCUGCUGGGCCGUUGCUGACGCUGAGGCGCGACAGCGUGGGGAGCAAACAGG
rnacentral:misc_RNA from 1 species